CCUACGGGGGGCAGCAGUCGAGAAUCAUUCACAAUGGGGGAAACCCUGAUGGUGCGACGCCGCGUGGGGGAAUGAAGGUCUUCCGAUUGUAAACCCCUGUCAUGUGGGAGCAAAUUAAAAAGAUAGUACCACAAGAGGAAGAGACGGCUAACUCUGUGCCAGCAGCCGCGGUAAUACAGAGGUCUCAAGCGUUGUUCGGAAUCACUGGGCGUAAGGCGUGCGUAGGCUGUUUCGUAAGUCGUGUGUGAAAGGCGCGGGCUCAACCCGCGGACGGCACAUGAUACUGCGAGACUAGAGUAAUGGAGGGGGAACCGGAAUUCUCGGUGUAGCAGUGAAAUGCGUAGAUAUCGAGAGGAACACUCGUGGCGAAGGCGGGUUCCUGGACAUUAACUGACGCUGAGGCACGAAGGCCAGGGGAGCGAAAGGGAUUAGAUACCCUUGUAGUC
rnacentral:rRNA from 1 species